CAGUAGCAGUGCCAUCAGCCUCAGCCAUCCCAUUUUCGAAAGGAAAAAAUAAAAUCGAAACAACGCAAGAAAAAGAAAAUGUCAAAACAGCAAAAGGAAAGCUCUCAAUCAUCAACACCAUCCUACGGGCCCAGGACAAAGAGGAAGAGAGGGAACUGGACCUGGGAUCCAACGAGCCUGACACGCCUUUACCUCUCACCGUUACUUCCCGGGC
rnacentral:misc_RNA from 1 species